CGUCACUCCUACGGGAGGCAGCAGUGGGGAAUAUUGCACAAUGGGCGCAAGCCUGAUGCAGCCAUGCCGCGUGUAUGAAGAAGGCCUUCGGGUUGUAAAGUACUUUCAGCGGGGAGGAAGGCAAUACGGUUAAUAACCGUGUUGAUUGACGUUACCCGCAGAAGAAGCACCGGCUAACUCCGUGCCAGCAGCCGCGGUAAUACGGAGGGUGCAAGCGUUAAUCGGAAUUACUGGGCGUAAAGCGCACGCAGGCGGUCUGUCAAGUCGGAUGUGAAAUCCCCGGGCUCAACCUGGGAACUGCAUUCGAAACUGGCAGGCUUGAGUCUUGUAGAGGGGGGUAGAAUUCCAGGUGUAGCGGUGAAAUGCGUAGAGAUCUGGAGGAAUACCGGUGGCGAAGGCGGCCCCCUGGACAAAGACUGACGCUCAGGUGCGAAAGCGUGGGGAGCAAACAGGAUUAGAAACCCCGGUAGUCCCAU
rnacentral:rRNA from 1 species